rnacentral:rRNA from 1 species
CCUACGGGCGGCAGCAGUGGGGAAUAUUGGACAAUGGGCGAAAGCCUGAUCCAGCCAUGCCGCGUGUGUGAAGAAGGCCUUCGGGUUGUAAAGCACUUUCAGUGGGGAAGAAAGCCUUGGGGCUAAUACCCUCGAGGAAGGACAUCACCCACAGAAGAAGCACCGGCUAACUCCGUGCCAGCAGCCGCGGUAAUACGGAGGGUGCGAGCGUUAAUCGGAAUUACUGGGCGUAAAGCGCGCGUAGGCGGUCUGAUAAGCCGGUUGUGAAAGCCCCGGGCUCAACCUGGGAACGGCAUCCGGAACUGUCAGGCUAGAGUGCAGGAGAGGAAGGGAGAAUUCCCGGUGUAGCGGUGAAAUGCGUAGAGAUCGGGAGGAAUACCAGUGGCGAAGGCGGCCUUCUGGACUGACACUGACGCUGAGGUGCGAAAGCGUGGGUAGCAAACAGGAUUAGAUACCCCUGUAGUC